UUAGCCUUAUGAUACAGUAUUGUGCAUUUAAGACCCUUAUUGUAUGCCAUAGAAAUAUACUCAAAUUCUAUUGGUGAGGGUAACAUUACAGGUAUACAGUGCAACCAUCUCACUAGAUCAAGAGCCAUACUUACAUAUGUUAAAUAUAUUUAUAUUUUAUUUUACUGCUUUUUUAUGGUAUGACCUCUUUGAUAUUUGUGGAAAAGGUCUGUGAUUUAUUGGUGAAGUGAUUUGGAUAUAUCAACUAAACUCUGAGCACAGGGAUUUAAAUAUCAAAGGGAGAUAAUCCUGUUCAAAGGACAUCAAAGGACUUUAAAGCUUUAAACUGAAAGGGCAUCAAAAGGGACAACUUCUUGUGUGAAAAAAAACCCCAGGUUAGACAAUAGAAAAGUAUACGAACAGUUUUUCAUUUAAAGUGACCUCUCAAUAAAACCCAAGACAACUAGAAAAUAUCAACAAAUCUCCAGAAAACGCAACACAACUAUGGGUAGUGGUGAAGGUCAAGGAGAGGGUCAAGGUCGCGGUGGUGGACUGUGCCCGGGACUUCUUUGGGGUUUUGUGUGGUUUCUAAUCCUCAUUUUCCUGGGAUGGCCAAUUGGAUUUUUUGUAGCAUGGUGGUACAUUUUCCUGCUGCCGUUUUCAGCUUGUAUUGAGCCGCUCAAAGGAGCAUGCGAGGCUCUACUCAAAGUUGUACAGUUGCCGUUAACAUGUGCAGAAAAUAUGGUGGCAAUGAAACCACUAUGUGGUUAAGUGUGUGUGCUUGUUAUAGAACAUAUUAUGUUUGUUAUCAUUUGUAUCACAUUGUUCAGCAGCUUAAUUCCAUAGUUUAUGUACACCGAAUAAUGUGCCUUAACAAAUGCAUUAAAAUUUAUAUAUUUUGGCGCUUUUUUAAGUGGGGAAUUUGUUAACACAACGCUAUUAAUCGAAAAAAGGCUUUUUAUUUGUACACAAAUCAUUUUUGUUUUGAUCAUUAAAGUCAAAUAAACAUAAGCAUGCAUUAAAAUAACAAUAAUAAAUUUGCAUCAGCCCAGAUAGUGCCACUUUCUGAGGAAACUUUGUGUUCAUAACAUCAAGAUGAAAUAAUGGCAUUCCUAAUUUUAAGUUAUUGCAGAAUAAGCAGUAAAGGGAAUUAUCUUAAUUGAAAGGAAUUAAAUAUAGUACUAAUUUGAUGUAUAGGCACGAACUGAAUAUCGAAGGUAAUUACAGUAUGCAUGUACAAGCAUUCUAAUAAGUGUACAAUAUUAUACUUGCUCACAUCUGUUUCAAAUAUCAGAAAACCUGCAUCAUGAAUACUUUUAGAAUAUAGUUAUAUACCUGUACAGUGUAUUUUGUUUAUUUAUUUCAUUUUAUUCUAAACUGCAGCUGUUUCAUUAUCAUUUUGUCGCGAGGUGUCAGAUUGAUAUGUUAUGUCAUAUUCAGAUUGUGAAAAUGAAGGUAUGCCAUUAUCAAGGGUGUAACUGAUAAAUAAUAUGAAUAUAAAUAGUUUCACAAUU